rnacentral:rRNA from 1 species
UCCUACGGGGGGCAGCAGUGAGGAAUAUUGGUCAAUGGGCUUACGCCUGAACCAGCCAAGUCGCGUGAGGGAAGACUGCCCUAUGGGUUGUAAACCUCUUUUGUCAGGGAGCAAUUGGCGCUACGUGUAGCGUUAUCGAGAGUACCUGAAGAAAAAGCAUCGGCUAACUCCGUGCCAGCAGCCGCGGUAAUACGGAGGAUGCGAGCGUUAUCCGGAUUUAUUGGGUUUAAAGGGUGCGUAGGCGGAAUGCCAAGUCAGCGGUAAAAUCGCGGGGCUCAACCUCGCUCGGCCGUUGAAACUGGCGU